GUAUUAAAGGCAACGCCUGCCCGGUGAAAAUUAAACGGCCGCGGUAUCCUAACCGUGCAAAGGUAGCAUAAUCAUUUGUCUAUUAAUUGUAGACCUGUAUGAAAGGCAAAAUGAGAGCCCAACUGUCUCUUAUAACAAAUCAAUUAAACUGAUCUCCUAGUACAAAAGCUAGAAUAUUAACAUAAGACCAGAAGACCCUGUGAAGCUUUAACUAACCUAUUAAACCUAAUAAUAACUACUUUCGGUUGGGGCGACCUUGGAAUAAAGAAGAACUUCCAACUAUAUGACUUCUCAUAAAACUAGGCAAACAAGCCAAUACUAGACCCAGCACAGCUGACAAUUGAAAUAAGUUACUCCAGGGAUAACAGCGCUAUCUUCUUUAAGAGCCCAUAUCAAAAAGAAGGUUUACGACCUCGAUGUUGGAUCAGGACAUCCCAGUAAUGCAACCGUUACUAAAGGUUCGUUUGUUCAACGAUUAACAGUCCUACGUGAUCU
rnacentral:rRNA from 1 species